CUGGACUCUUGCUCUUUUCUACAUGUGUAUUGAAACGUCUUUGGAAUUGACUGUACUGACUCACACUGUGUAAUCCGCCUUGCAUCUCAGUGAGAAAGGCAGACUAUAAAUAAUAUAAAUAAAUACAAUUAUGCCCCAGUUGAAGGUUUGAGACAUUUUCCUCCUGGCUUUUUGGCAUCCCUUGGCUAGCUGGCCGGCUGAAUUAUCUGGCUGCCCCAUGAUACAGUUGUGUACUUGGGAGCCAUGGUGUGGUGAGGCAAGGACCUUCCCUUCAUAGACACACAACUUCCCACAGAUUCACACAUUACAGAGUAGGCAGGUGGGAUCUGGGAUCUCCGCCUUGUAUAUUGCAUAAUGUGUGAAUUGGCCCUGCUGGAUCUUGAAGGGUAUGUGUGUGCAAUAUUCUGUGUGUACACAUAAGCAAGGCAAUGUAACAUACAAGUCCUCCUACACAUGUGCAAAGACGUAAGAAGCAGCACCACUGGAUCAGACUGAGAGUCCAGCUUCAAUCCCCAAGUUGCCGUGAGGGGUAGCCCCCCCAAAGGGGGAUGCUGAACUUUACGCAAGCCAGCCGCUUCAGCUCAUGGCCCUCCUCUUUACAGCUGGUGUGCUGCCUUUGAACCUGCAGGCUCCAUUUAGCUCUGAUGGUUAAUAGCUGCAGCGUGGAUUUGCCCCAUCCUUUUUUAAGCCAGCAAAUUCCAUAAAUCAACUGUGUGUUGUAUGAAUAGACCCACAAGGAAACCCAUUUUCAGUCUCCUCCUCAUUUGCAUUGGCUCGGAUUUCUAACAUUAUGAGUGUGUGUGGCGGGGUGGGGGGAGUCUUCAUUUUAUAUGCCUCUGCCAUGUCCCCCCCUCUCUUUAAAUAAGAAUGAUUUUACUAAUCAUUAGUGAAAAGGAAAAGGGCCAGGAACAAGUGUAGAUUUGGGUUUUGAAUUCCCGUGUGUGAAGAUGCCUAAAACAAGCAGCACACAGAACACACACAUCUGCCUUAUACUGAAUUGGACCCUCUGGCCUUCAAAGCCAGCCUCCUCUGCCCAAACUGGUAGCUACUCUCCAGGGUCCUGAGCAGAGCAGGGGCUUGCCCAAGACUCACCACCCAAGAUUGUUAUUUGGAGAUGCCAGGAACUGAAGCAGGUGCCCGGCCACGGAGCCGUGGCUGUUCUCUUGGAGGUUUCUUCGCUCCUUUGUCUGUUGUCAGCCUGUAAAGCUGCUUGGCCCACCUGGCUCCCAGCAGUUGUUCUCCAUGGUCUCCAGCAGAGAAAGAUCUGAUACCUGAGAUUCUUAUCUGGAGUUGCCAGGGGUUGAAACUGGGGCCUGCUACAUUGAAAGCAAGUGCUCUGCAGCCGAACGGAGGCUCUUCUUACAGUUCUGACCCUCUGAAGCCAUCUUGUAUGGAAUUGGACCUUAACCCAGUUCUGCCUCCUCUCACUGGCAGUGGUUCUCGGGGUUACGCUCAGAGGCUUUCCCCAGCAACCUCAGUUGGCAGAAAAAAUGGAGGGAUAAAUAUGACCUCAGAAGUCAACUAUAUAAAGGACCCUUAAUGGUUAGCAAGACACGGAAUAUAAUAAUGAAGUAUCUGUGCUUGCAUUUAUAAAGCCAUACAGUUGUACAAAAAUAUGGAUAGAAUCCAAUCAACAGAGAAAGAUCAAACUAAAUCCUCAGAAGUGCCCAGUUUGCAAAAUAAAGAAUUAGAAUUUCAGCGAUAGUCCUUCCUUACUGGGUUGCACUUUCCUUGUGUUCUUCUGUAAAUUGGACAAUUUUGAGAAUUUCAUUUGAUCUUUCUCUAUACGGUUGAUUAGUUUUUAUCCACAUUUUCAAGCAGUUUAUAUCUACACAAGUACAAACACUGUGGCGUGACAUUCAGUGCCCCACAUAUUCAGCAAGCAGGAGAGAGUGGGCACUCAGCCUUGGGCUUCCUGAAAACGAAGCAGGCCCUUGGCCAGUGAACACAAGUCUCCUCCGCAGGGAGCACGCUGGGCCUUCCUGUGCAUGCAUUCAGAGCCGCUCACAGCCUGCAGCCACCCCAGAGCACAGGAACAAGAGAGCCUGUGUGUGUGUGUGUGUGAGGCUCAUGUUACGUCCCACGCCUUUAAGAUUAUUUUCUGAGCAAAUUAGCAUGACGCUUUCUCUAACUGCUAACUUUUGAUUUAUAACAGAUGGUGGCCAACUGAUAAAUGAGUGGUGAACUUUUGAAAUGUCUGACUAGCCCUUCCAGUCUGGCAGGAUGUCUCUGCAGGCCUUGGGGGUGAAUGAAUGUUCGCUUUCUGUAGUGGGAGAAGGAAGCGAAAAGUGGACAUCUACAGUUUUUUAAAAGUGCGAUGGCUCCCCUCCCUGGUGCAGAGCUAGUGAAGAGGCCGCUGCAGCUCUACCGCUACCUGCUCCGUUGUUGCAAGGAAUUGCCUGGGGAGAGCGUCCAGGAGCACUACAGGCAUGCUGUCAGGCAGAGCUUCAAAGUUCAUGCAGAUGAAGAUGGCCCUGAGAGAAUCCAGCAGAUUAUCAAGAGAGCCAUUGAAGAUGCCGACUGGGUGAUGGAGAAAGGAUUCGCUGCCAGAACCCCUGUCGCCAUACAGGGCUUUUUUUCUGGGAAAAGAGGUGGGGGAACUCUCACCCGGGACAACUCCCGGCAGGAGGUAGUGCCCCUGUUACUACACACACUCACAAAGCGCGCUCCCAGGACGACUACACAGCAUGGCCGCCUCCAGGAGAAAGAAAGACAUGGAAACAAGGAAAUUCUUUCUGAAAACAUCUCAGCGCCUCCAUGUUUGUAUCCAAACAGACAACAGCACGACCAAGGCUCAUAUCAGUUGCCAGCGAGGCAUGCGAUCCUGGAUGCUUCAACAUUUCAAAUUCCAUAAUGAAAUGGUCAGAGAGGCACCAGCAUCUCUCUAAGCAGAGUACAUCAAGGGUGCCUCCAAUGCGCAGGCUGGUUGGCUCCGUCGGUCUCGCCUGCAUCAAGGGGAGUGGUCCCUACCUCAGAUUCUGUUAAAUGCCUCAUCAGUUCUGUUAGCCCUAUGUAGACCUCUUUGCCUGUCCCCCCCUUUUUUUUAAGUAAUAUUUUUAUUAACAUAUUAAAAUCAGUGAACUUGCCUGUCCCCUUGACGAAAGGCAAAGCGCGACUUCUCCUGUUACGACUGUCCACAAGUGGAGAAGAUGCGUGUGCUCCUAUCCAAGCGGCUGCCUGAACUACUUUAUGCUUUUCCUCUGAUUCUGCUGAUCUCGAGAGUGCUGCACAACUCAAGCAAGAGAAAGCAGAAGUGACUGAGGAGACCCUGGUUCUGGGACCUGAUUGUGCCAACAGUUCAACCUCCCUGGACGCUUCCAACCCUGCCAGACCAUCUGUCCCAGGAACUGAUAGGUUACCUGGACUCACCCACGCUGCACUUGAUUGGAGAUGGAGCAACAUGGCCUUCUAGAUGCUGGGUGCUCUGAAUAGGUUGUGGAGACAAUGAUGGCAAGCAGGCAGCUGUCCACAGGAAGGAUAUAUAGCUGCACCUGGAAGGCAUUCAUCAGGUGGUGCCGAAGGAAAUACAAGAUCCCCUUGGAGGCGGGUGUCCUUUCCUUCUCACAAGAUAGGCUUGAGCAGGGGCUGAGAGCUAGCCCACUCCAUAGACGGUAGCGGGCCUCUGGCUGAAGGCAGUCCUCUUUCACUGCACUCAGCUGUCAAGAGUCUCCUCAAAGGAGCAGCACUUUUCAACUCACCACUUUCCCCUCUUGGAGACUUCAUAUGGUUCUCCAAGCACAUACAGAAUGUUUGUUUGAGCCACUACAAGAGGUAUCGCUUAGGUUCCUCAUGCUUAAGGUGCUGUUCCUUACGGCUGUCACCUUUGCCAGAUGUGUAUCAGAGUCUAUUGCUAAAGGCUAUUGCUAAAGGCUGUAGCCUUCCGAAAGGAUGUGGUGGUUCUCUGACUGGAUCCUUUGUUCAUCCCAAAGCUGAAUUCAGCGUUCCACAGUUCUCAGGUGUUGUACCUUCCAUCUUUCUGCCCCAAUCCGUCACGUCUCAAGGAGAAGACCUGGCAUACUUUAGAUGUGCAAAAGGCCUUCUGUAUCUGCAUUCAACAUGAGCUCCAGUCCAGAGAUGAGACGCUCUCUUUGUGGCAUGCCAUCCUGUAGCCAAGAGUAGGAAGGUCUCCGAAACGUCUUUCAGCUGGUGUCUGAAAGAGGGCAUCGUUUUGGCUCACACUUGUCAAGGGCUUAAACCUCCAGAAGGAUUAACAGCCCACUCAGCCAGGAGGGCAACCAUCAUGGCUGCUUUGCACUCCAACGUGUCAGUUCUGGAUAGCUGUAGAGCAGCUACAUGGGCAGCUGCAUCUACGUUGUACGCCAUUACAAAAUGGUCUCUUAUUCAUCGGCCGAUGCAGCCUUCGGGUGGCAAGUCCUUCAGCAGGCGACGCAAGAGGGUCAGAAGCAGAGGGCUGCCUGCCAGUCUCGAGGGAAGCCUUGUAACGUCCCUAGCCUCAGGAUGUCUUCCUCUCCUCCAAUGAGAAAGGAGCUUUGGACUUACCGUGAAGGUUAGAGUAUAAAAAACAGAAGUAGAAGAAAUGAUAAGAAAGGAGGCAAACGACUGGACUGGAGAUACCUGGAUUGGAACCGCUUGUGUAGAUUUGUGAUGAUGAACGCCUCCCCCCGCCCCCUCCAGCUCAUCUGUUAAGAAGUUGUUUGUGGUCACUGGUCAUCUAGCAGCAGACAGGAGGCCUCUUACUAAACAGGCUGAACUUUGAUUAAGUUAUGAAUGUGUCACACUUCCUAGCUGAGCCUACAGAGAGUGAUCAGAUGUUGGAGAAACCCGUCUCUGCAGGACUUGGAUUGAAUCAUGAAUUUAGCCUCCUGUUGCUAAAAUUCUGAAAAUAUUGGGCAAUGUUUGGAUCUAAAGGCUGCUUUUGGACUCAAAGUGUUCAUUCAGUGGAGAAGACAUGGGCUGUAAAUAUUUCAAAUAAAUGCAUAUAUAGAAACCAAGCGUACACUCUGUUGCUUUUAACCAGUGUCAGAGAAAAAGUGUGUCAACUCAAGUAUCUGCUGCAAGCUUAAAUGGAAAGCACCCCCCCCAGCUGUAGCAGAAAAGCAUUCAAUAAAUCUAGUUUUAAGAAACA